UACGGGGGGGGCAAGCGUUGUUCGGAAUUACUGGGCGUAAAGGGCUCGUAGGUGGCCGACUAAGUCAGACGUGAAAUCCCUCGGCUUAACCGGGGAACUGCGUCUGAUACUGGAUGGCUUGAGUUUGGGAGAGGGACGCGGAAUUCCAGGUGUAGCGGUGAAAUGCGUAGAUAUCUGGAGGAACACCGGUGGCGAAGGCGGCGUCCUGGACCAACACUGACACUGAUGAGCGAAAGCCAGGGGAGCAAACGGG
rnacentral:rRNA from 1 species